GCAUUGAAGACUGGGAGACAUGAGUACCGAAGAGGAAGAUGGAAUUCCAUGUGUAGCGGUGAAAUGCGUAAAGAUAUGGAGGAACACCAGUGGCGAAGGCGACUUUCUGGUCUGUAACUGACACUGAGGCGCGAAAGCGUGGGGAGCAAACAGGAUUAGAUACCCUGGUAGUCCACGCCGUAAACGAUGAGUGCUAAGUGUUAGAGGGUUUCCGCCCUUUAGUGCUGAAGUUAACGCAUUAAGCA
rnacentral:rRNA from 1 species